GCCCAGCCCGGACCCGCCUCCACCCUCCAGUGCCCUGGCGCUGGGGGCGUGCUAAAAGCAACAGAAAACAAAACAAAAACAAACAAAGCGCCAAACCCCACUCUCACCUCUUCUACUGGUCAAAGGCCCUGUAACAUGCCUGUUCUCACUUGGACUUCUGCCAUGUGUAAAAGCUCCCUAUGGCCUCCCCAAAAGCCAAGCAGAUGUUGGUGCCAAACUUGUACAGCCUGCAGAACUGUGAGCCAAUUAAACCUCUUUUCUUUAUAAAUUA